rnacentral:rRNA from 1 species
AGUGAACGCUGGCGGUAGGCCUAACACAUGCAAGUCGAACGGCAGCACAGGAGAGCUUGCUCUCUGGGUGGCGAGUGGCGGACGGGUGAGGAAUACAUCGGAAUCUACUCUGUCGUGGGGGAUAACGUAGGGAAACUUACGCUAAUACCGCAUACGACCUACGGGUGAAAGCAGGGGACCUUCGGGCCUUGCGCGAUUGAAUGAGCCGAUGUCGGAUUAGCUAGUUGGCGGGGUAAAGGCCCACCAAGGCGACGAUCCGUAGCUGGUCUGAGAGGAUGAUCAGCCAACCUGGAACUGAGACACGGUCCAGACUCCUACGGGAGGCGGCAGUGGGGAAUAUUGGACAAUGGGCGCAAGCCUGAUCCAGCCAUACCGCGUGGGUGAAGAAGGCCUUCGGGUUGUAAAGCCCUUUUGUUGGGAAAGAAAUCCAGCUGGCUAAUACCCGGUUGGGAUGACGGUACCCAAAGAAUAAGCACCGGCUAACUUCGUGCCAGCAGCCGCCGUAA